rnacentral:rRNA from 1 species
AGGGUGCAGGGCGGAUGCCUUGGCACUAGGAGCCGAUGAAGGACGUGAUAAGCUGCGAUAAGCUUCGGGGAGUUGCACGUAAACUUUGAUCCGAAGAUUUCCGAAUGAGGAAACUCACUUAGAGUAAUGUCUAAGUAUCAUUAAGUGAAUACAUAGCUUAAUGAGGGGAACUCAGGGAACUGAAACAUCUAAGUACCUGAAGGAAGAGAAAGAAAUUCGAUUCCGUAAGUAGCGGCGAGCGAACGCGGAUUAGCCCAAACCAAUAAAGUUUUCUUUAUUGGGGUUGCGGACAUAUCAUAACGAAGAGGUAUCGUAAUUGAAGAGGUUUGGAAAGACCCACCACAGAAGGUAAUAGUCCUGUAUGUUAAACGAGAAGACUUCAGAUAUGAUCCAGAGUACCACGGGACACGUGAAACCCUGUGGGAAGCAGGAGGGACCACCCUCCAAGGCUAAAUACUACCUAGUGACCGAUAGCGUAUAGUACCGUGAGGGAAAGGUGAAAAGAACCCCGGGAGGGGAGUGAAAUAGAACCUGAAACCCUGCACUUACAAGCUGUGGAAGCACAUUUCUUGUGUGACCGCGUACUUUUUGUAGAACGGGCCAACGAGUUACGUUAAGUAGCAAGGUUAAGCACUUAAGGUGCGGAGCCGUAGCGAAAGCGAGUUUUAACUGAGCGUUCAGUUACUUGACGUAGACCCGAAACCGGGCGACCUACCCAUGAGCAGGAUGAAGCGAAAGUAAAAUUUCGUGGAGGUCCGAACCCACGAGCGUUGAAAAGCUCGGGGAUGACUUGUGGGUAGCGGUGAAAUUCCAAUCGAGCCCGGAGAUAGCUGGUUCUCCCCGAAAUAGCUUUAGGGCUAGCCUCAAGGUGAGAGAUACGGAGGUAGAGCACUGAAUGUCCUAGGGGGUAUUGCACCUACCGAAGACUAUCAAACUCCGAAUGCCGUCAUCUUAUACUUGGGAGUCAGACUGUGGGUGAUAAGAUUCAUAGUCGAAAGGGCAACAGCCCAGAUCGUCAGCUAAGGUCCCUAAAUGUAAGUUAAGUGGUAAAGGAUGUGGGAUUGCACAGACAACCAGGAUGUUGGCUUAGAAGCAGCCACUCAUUCAAAGAGUGCGUAAUAGCUCACUGGUCGAGUGAUCCUGCGCCGAAGAUUUCCGGGGCUAAAACUUACUACCGAAGCUACGGCAUCAGUAAUGAUGGGUAGGGGAGCUUCCCAUACGGGUUGAAGCAUGACCGUAAGGACAUGUGGACAGUAUGGGAGUGAGAAUGUUGGCAUGAGUAGCGAGAUGUGGGUGAGAAUCCCACAGGCCGUAAACCCAAGGUUUCCAGGGGAAGGUUCGUCCGCCCUGGGUUAGUCGGGACCUAAGCUGAGGCCGAAAGGCGUAGGUGAUGGACAACAGGUUGAUAUUCCUGUACUACCGAUAACCGUUUGAGAGAAGGGAUGACACAGUAGGAUAAGCUAAGCACACUGUUGGUUAUGUGUGCCCAAGCAUUGAGGCAGUCAAAGUAGGCAAAUCCGCUUUGAUAAUGCUGGGAUGUGAUGGGGAGCGAAAUUUAGUAGCGAAGUAGCUGAUUUCACACUGUCAAGAAAAGUCUCUAUCGAGGUUAAAGGUACCCGUACCGCAAACCGACACAGGUGGGUGAGGAGAGUAUCCUAAGGCCAGCGAGAGAACUGUUGUUAAGGAACUCGGCAAAAUGACCCCGUAACUUAGGGAUAAGGGGUGCCACCAUCAGGUGGCCGCAGAGAAUAGGCCCAAGCGACUGUUUACCAAAAACAUAGGUUUCUGCUAAGUCGCAAGACGAUGUAUAGGAGCUGACGCCUGCCCGGUGCUGGAAGGUUAAGGGGAUCUGUUAGAGCAAUCGAAGCAGUGAACUUAAGCCCCAGUAAACGGCGGCCGUAACUAUAACGGUCCUAAGGUAGCGAAAUUCCUUGUCGGGUAAGUUCCGACCCGCACGAAAGGCGUAACGAUUUGGGCACUGUCUCAACAACAGACUCGGUGAAAUUGUAAUUCCGGUGAAGAUGCCGGAUACCUGCGACAGGACGGAAAGACCCCAUGGAGCUUUACUGUAGCUUGACAUUGGGUCUUGGUACUACAUGUACAGGAUAGGUGGGAGGCUUUGAAACCAGGACGCCAGUUUUGGCGGAGCCAUCCUUGGGAUACCACCCUUGUAGU